rnacentral:rRNA from 1 species
CCUACGGGAGGCAGCAGUGAGGAAUAUUGGUCAAUGGACGAGAGUCUGAACCAGCCAAGUAGCGUGAAGGAUGACUGCCCUAUGGGUUGUAAACUUCUUUUAUAUAGGAAUAAAGUGAGGCAUGUGUGCUUUUUUGUAUGUACCAUAUGAAUAAGGAUCGGCUAACUCCGUGCCAGCAGCCGCGGUAAUACGGAGGAUCCGAGCGUUAUCCGGAUUUAUUGGGUUUAAAGGGAGCGUAGAUGGAUUGUUAAGUCAGUUGUGAAAGUUUGCGGCUCAACCGUAAAAUUGCAGUUGAUACUGGCAGUCUUGAGUACAGUAGAGGUAGGCGGAAUUCGUGGUGUAGCGGUGAAAUGCUUAGAUAUCACGAAGAACUCCGAUUGCGAAGGCAGCUUACUAGACUGCAACUGACACUGAUGCUCGAAAGUGUGGGUAUCAAACAGGAUUAGAUACCCCGGUAGUC